GACGAACCGUGCAAACGUUGUUCGGAAUCACUGGGCUUAAAGGGCGCGUAGGCGGGCAAGCAAGUCCGGGGUGAAAUCUUUCGGCCCAACCGGAAAAGGGCCUUGGAUACUGCUUGUCUGGAGGGAGGUAGGGGCAGACGGAACUUCCGGUGGAGCGGUGAAAUGCGUUGAUAUCGGAAGGAACGCCGGUGGCGAAAGCGGUCUGCUGGACCUCUACUGACGCUGAGGCGUGAAAGCCAGGGGAGCGAACGGG
rnacentral:rRNA from 1 species